rnacentral:rRNA from 1 species
GUACGGAGGGAGCUAGCGUUUGUUCGGAAUUACUGGGCGUAAAGGGCGCGUAGGCGGAUAUUUAAGUCGGGGGUGAAAGCCCAGGGCUCAACCCUGGAACAGCCUUCGAUACUGGAUAUCUUGAGUACGGGAGAGGUGAGUGGAAUUCCGAGUGUAGAGGUGAAAUUCGUAGAUAUUCGGAAGAACACCAGUGGCGAAGGCGGCUCACUGGACUGGUAUUGACGCUGAGGUGCGAAAGCGUGGGGAGCAAACAGG